rnacentral:rRNA from 1 species
CCUACGGGUGGCUGCAGUGGGGAAUAUUGGACAAUGGGGGGAACCCUGAUCCAGCCAUGCCGCGUGUGUGAAGAAGGCCCUCGGGUUGUAAAGCACUUUCAGUGAGGAAGAACGCCUGGUGGUUAAUACCCAUCAGGAAAGACAUCACUCACAGAAGAAGCACCGGCUAACUCCGUGCCAGCAGCCGCGGUAAUACGGAGGGUGCGAGCGUUAAUCGGAAUUACUGGGCGUAAAGCGCGCGUAGGUGGCUUGAUAAGCCGGUUGUGAAAGCCCCGGGCUCAACCUGGGAACGGCAUCCGGAACUGUCAAGCUAGAGUGCAGGAGAGGAAGGUAGAAUUCCCGGUGUAGCGGUGAAAUGCGUAGAGAUCCGGAGGAAUACCAGUGGCGAAGGCGGCCUUCUGGACUGACACUGACACUGAGGUGCGAAAGCGUGGGUAGCAAACAGGAUUAGAUACCCCAGUAGUC